UUUCUACACUCUGCUUCCUUAAUUCCACCACACUCCAGAUAGAUAUGCAUCUCCUGAACUAGUUUUCCAGCCAUUGCAGAAAUAUUUAAAUAAGCCACCAGAUCUGUUCUUCUUUCUGAUUUUCUGCUUUUUAAGAGACAAAUAGAUGGCUCACAGGAUGAUUUUACCCUGCAAUCCAUUCACACAACAAUUGUGAGGAGGAACCGAUAGAGCACACUCAGUCCUUUUGUGCUCCAAGUGGCACUUGUGGAAAGGAAAAACAUGGUCUUUUUCCUCACACUUUAAAGCCAGAACAGCUGAAUGGGAUGGAAAAGUAAGAAGAACACUACCUUUUCUGUAUAUCUUCUUUAUUAUCAAGAAAACAAACCUUUGGGUGGAAACUUAUGAUGAAGGAAAUUCUUUCUUCUAUGCCUGAAUACUCAUUACAAGUAUGAAGCCAUGCUGUAAUCCUGGGACUGCUUGAGUAGUGAGUUCAUCCACACUGUAUGCUGAGAAUGCUGCUCUAUGUAUUGCCAUCUGACACCAAUCAAAUAUCAGGG
ensembl:lncRNA